GAUGAAGAACGCAGUGAAAUGCGAUAAGUAAUGUGAAUUGCAGAAUUUAGUGAAUCAUCGAAUCUUUGAACGCAUAUUGCGCCCGCCAGCACUCUGGCGGGCAUGCCUGUUCGAGCGUCAUUUCAACCCUCAGGCCUCGCGUCUGGCGUUGGGGCGCUGCGGCCCUCCCGCAGGCCCCCAAAUUUAGCGGCGGAUUCCCCGCGGCCCUGAGCGCAGUAGAGAGUAAAAACUUUAACGCUCCGGCGGCCGUGGCGCGGUUCUGCCUCUUUCCCAAUAGCGCCAAUAGCGCCACCCCCAAAAAAGUUGACCUCGGAUCAGGUAGGACUACCCGCUGAACUUAAGCAUAUCAAUAAGCGGAGGA
rnacentral:misc_RNA from 1 species